ACUGUGGCUCAGUUGGUAGAGCAGCUGAUUCGUAAUCAGCAGGUCGUGGGUUCAAGUCCCAUCAGU
rnacentral:tRNA from 1 species